CAGUGUUGCAUGCGUGUCGUCAGCUCGUGUCGUGAGAUGUUGGCUUAAGUCCCGCAACGAGCGCAACCCUCAUCCUUAGUUGCCAUCAGGUAAUGCUGGGUCUUUAAGGAAACUGCCAGUGAUAAGCUGGAGGAAGGCGGGGAUGAUGUCAAGUCAUCAUGGCCUUUAUGGAGUGGGCUACACACGUGCUACAAUGGUGUCUACAAUGGGUUGCAAGGUGCGAAAGCUUGAGCUAUCCCUAAAAAGCCAUCCCAUUCCGGAUUGUCCCUUGCACUUCGAAUACUUGAAGUUGAAAUCCUUAAAAUCCGGGAUUAAGCUUGCAACGUGAAUAAGUUUCUCGGUCCUUGUACACACUGCCGGCCACGCCAGGGAAUUG
rnacentral:rRNA from 1 species